GACGAACGCUGGCGGCGUGCCUAAUACAUGCAAGUAGAACGCUGAAGGAGGAGCUUGCUUCUCUGGAUGAGUUGCGAACGGGUGAGUAACGCGUAGGUAACCUGCCUGGUAGCGGGGGAUAACUAUUGGAAACGAUAGCUAAUACCGCAUAAUAGCAGUUAUUGCAUGAUAACUGUUUGAAAGGUGCAAUUGCACCACUACCAGAUGGACCUGCGUUGUAUUAGCUAGUUGGUGGGGUAACGGCUCACCACGGCGACGAUACAUAGCCGACCUGGGAGGGUGGUCGGCCACACUGGGAAUGGGACACGGCCCAGACUCCUACGGGGAGCAGCAGUAGGGAAUCUUCGGCAAUGGACGGAAGUCUGACCGAGCAACGCCGCGUGAGUGAAGAAGGUUUUCGGAUCGUAAAGCUCUGUUGUAAGGGGAGAACGAGUGUGAGAGUGGAAAGUUCACACUGUGACGGUAUCUUACCAGAAAGGGACGGCUAACUACGUG
rnacentral:rRNA from 1 species